UACGUAGGCAGCGAGCGUUGUCCGGAUUUACUGGGCGUAAAGGGCGCGUAGGCGGCGUGACAAGUCACUUGUGAAAUCUCCGGGCUUAACUCGGAACGGUCAAGUGAUACUGUCGGACUAGAGUACAGAAGGGGGCAACUGGAAUUCUCGGUGUAGCGGUGAAAUGCGUAGAUAUCGAGAGGAACACCUGCGGCGAAAGCGGGUUGCUGGGCUGAUACUGACGCUGAGGCGCGAAAGCCAGGGGGAGCGAACGGG
rnacentral:rRNA from 1 species